GAGGCGUAGUGUCAGGUGAUGAACGAAGGGCAUAGAAAGGAGGAGAAAUCGUUGAGUUUCGUUGCAGUUUUUGGACAGCGUUAAACGGUCCAAUAAGAGGGCAGACAACUGGGGCCGUCAAGAUCUUAACUGGGCUACAAUUCCUAUCAGUCCUAUCAGCUUGGGGAUUGUGGGCACCGAAAUCCAACAAGAACCAGAAGGCAACAAUUGCUUGCUCGCCAGUACUCUGCUCUGAAAGGCAGGGAGAUUCUCAGGAGCACGAAGAGACCAUGCAGAAAGAACAUACUGAUAAUGAUACCCUUUAUCUGGGAGGGAACCUCUGCUGAAUCUUGCUGCCUUCCACGAACAGCCACACUAGCAAAAGAUCCACAUGAAAAUUACAGGAAAUCCAGAGACUUCUUAAAUGUUCAGAAGCUGCUCCAAAACAACUGUGCACCAUUCUGAAGAUACCACUUCACCGUUCAAAAUUUGGACAUUUUAUUAACUUGCUACAGGAGACAAACUUGGCAAACAAGCUGCAGCCUUAAACUUCUAACAAGAAGAUGGAAUCAAGAAAUAUCUCCAAACCAGGAACCUAGUUCAGAGUUCAGAGGGAGUGCAAGACCCUUCCAAGAGAGGCUGCCCACUCAAAAUUAAAUCAGAUCAUCUACCUGCUGAUGGUAUCACUACUAAUGGCACAUGUUGCAACUCUGUAAGAGGGUUGCCAUCACAAUACAGUAUAACAGAUUAAAAAGAACAGUAAGGUAAAUAAUGCAAUAAAACUAUAAG